GCUUAUAUGAAAACUGUCACCCUGUCCUUCACCUCCUGGGCACCAGAGGGCAGAUAUCUUAAAUCUCACUUACCCAGCACAUAAAUCCUUUUUCCCUCCACAGCAAAGUUCUGUCCUCUGGAUUUGCUCCAGCACCCUGUAGAAGCUGAAAGGAACAAUUCAGUUUUGCUUUUCCGGACAAUGUCUUUGCAGCGGCUAAUUGGUUCAACACACCCACCAGGGACAGAAAGUAAGGAUUACUCAGGAGGCAGCCCCACCACCCUUUAUCAAUCAGCACAGUCAAAAGACUUGUCCUUGUAAAUAGUCUUUGCAAACAAUCAGUUCAUAAUCUUUUUUGUUCUUGUGAACCUUUAAUUGUUUUUCCGGCUAAAGACAAUCUGAAAUUCAAUUCAUUGCGCUAGCCUUCAAAGCUUGUGAGGUAAGAUUAUAGAAGUGAAACUGCUUUCAAAGGGGAAAGCAGAACCAUAUAAUGGCAAAGUAGAUUAUCCCUAGGAGAUAACGUUAACAAGACAAGGUCCUUUGCCUAAUAAGUAAUCAAUAAAAGGUCAACAAUGAUUGCCGGGGAUUCAUUUUAAAGGAGUGAAGUUAACUUUUGGUCCUGGCGAAUGUAGUCUUAUAGUUUGUAUUUUCUAACAAUUUUGUUUGUUGUUGAGCUUCCUUUUUGAAAAAAAUUUCACUUUCUAAAAAAAAAAAAAGAAAGAAAGAAAGAAAGAAAAAAUUUUCAUUUUCUAAACCUGUUAAUUCUUGUGGACUUACCCUAACCUUCACAUUCAGAACCGCUCAAAUCGACAUUUCUUCAUUUAUAGAGUAUUGUGGCUAUUAAGAAAUCUAGAAAUUGAAUUUUAAAAAUAAAACAUAACUUUUUAUUUGCUGUGAGAAACCAGGUAUCAACCAACAAUAAGUAAAUAGUUCCAAAAGAAAAUGCAAGUUCAAAGAUGUGGAAUAUCUUUUUUUCCCUAAUACCAAGUAAGAAUAUUCUUAUUUUCCUUUGGGCCUCAAUAUCAGUAUAUUUAGAGUAGCUUUAGAUUUCUUGGGAUUGUUUUUAAUGUUUAUUUCCUUCUUCUGACAACUAUGAUCAGAUUCAGCUGAAGGAAUCAGAGACUUCAGAGUAUCACAAUUGGUGGGGUGUGUGUGUGUGUGUGUGAGUGCUUUUAAUAUUUUUUACUUAUUUGUCAGACAGAGGGAGAGAGAACACAAGCAGGGGGAGAAGCAAGCAGAGGGAGAAGCAGACUCCCUACCGAGCAGGGAGCCCUAUGAAGGACUGGGUCCCAGGGCCCUGGGAUCAUGACCUGAGCCAAAGGCAGGGGCUUGAUCCACUGAGCCACUUAGACAUCCCACAAUUGGCAGUUUCUAAAUUCAACAGAAACACCCCUCCCUGAAUAAAAAGAUUUUUUUGCUCAGUGUUAUGCCAAGGUCUUGCUAACUUACCUUAACUGUUUUCGUGAUUACUGCAAGCAGUAGGAAGAGAAAUUAAGACUUGUACAGCACUUUAUUCAUACAUAUUCACACUCAUUCAUCUCCCCACACGCAUGUGGGAUGGACACUUUAUAGGAUGGACAACUGCCUCAGAGAAGUUAAAUAAGCUGAUUUAAAAAUUCAAGUUACAUAUUACUACAGGGAAAUUAGUGUUUUGGUUUUGUUUUCUAUUUUUUUAAAGAUUUUAUUUAUUUAUUUGACAGAGAUCGCAAGUAGGCAGGUUGGGGGGGGGGGAGCAGUCUCCCCACUGAUCAGAGAGCUCAACUCAGGGCUUGAUCCCAGAACCCUGCAAUCAUGGCCCAAGCCGAAGGCAGAGGCUUUAACCCACUGAGCCACCCAGGCGCCCCAUUCUUUUCUUUUCUUUUCUUUUUCUUUUUUUAAGAAUUGGCAUAGACCAUAGUCCUGUAUUUCUAAUGGUUUAUAUGUGAAAAACUUUUUUUUAAGUCAAAUAUUUGGACUUGAAAUAUAUUCCAAAAUUAAUCCUGAGUACAUGGGAAAAUAUAUUCUGAAUUUCAAUUCCCCCAGCUCCAAUCUGAUCCCAGCUCAUAAAUUCCAGACCUCUUUCGUUCUUCAGCUCAGUAUUUUCUGCUUAUACAGUUUUAUCUUCUGAGGCUUCAGUUACCUGUGGUCAGUCCUGCUCCAGAAGCAGAUGAUCCUAGAGGAAUUAGGAGAAGGUCCACAGCUGCCAAAUUCAUUCACCUCGUCUCAUCUCAUCCUAGGCAUCCCGUCAUUCACAGCAUCACAAGAAGAAGGGCAUUUAUUUCUUAUGAAAAUGGCCUUCAUAUAAACCCCGAAGAAGAGAAGGGAAAGAGAAAUAACUUCCAAAUGAGUGUCCCAUGGCUGGUGAGUCCAACUAUAGUGCGGAAGCAAGAGAUAACAUGAGGCAGGACACAGUCCCAUCCACCACCAUCAUCAAAAUUAUCUUCCUUAUGGUCAUGCCAGUGAUGCAUUUAUUAGGAACACUAAAGUGAAGCCUGGAAGUGAGACUCACACCUGCAAAGGGUAAGUGCAAAAAUGUGUGGCAGGACUAAUUUUGACUUAAGUAUUUGUAAACUUGCCCUACUCUGGACAUUGUGCUAGAUAUCUGGGAUACAGUACAUUAUGAAUACAUGUGUCACAUUUGAUUUGUCAAGGAAGUGGUCAACUCUGAUCCUCUUAGAGAAAUAAAGAUUAAUCUUAUGCAACAGUUUUCUGGACUCUUUUUUAUUCUAUUAUUCAAAUCCUUAUCUAUUCAAGGUCCUUGUCUCCUUAGUUCCUCUUUGGUUGCUAAUGGUGAUCCUGCUCUGGGAAUUUUCUCUGUACUGGUUCUGCAAGCCCAGGCAGGUUCUGCCUCUAGGGCUUCUGGGCUGGAGUCCUCUAACAACUUAACCACCCCACCAAGUUUCUGACCAUUCGCCUUAGCUGGAAUCAGUCACCCACAUCAAGUCAA